AGGGCACAUCAUUCCCCCUCAAUCGAUCAAUCGUAUUCUCUUUCUCCUUGCACCGACGCAACCAUCACCGUGAAACUGGUGGGAUCAAGCCUCUACCGCGCCAGCGUCCAGGUAAGGUUGAUACGGAGCAUCCACCUUGGGGGAGUAGCCUCGGGUACGGUACGAUUGUUUCCUCAUUGUUAAGGAGAUGAGAUGGGUUUGGUUUACUUUUAAUAACAACCAGUUUUCAACUUGGGAUCUCUUCAAAGUUCACAUGAUGGUCGGAUGAGUUGUGUGAGAUUAACUUCUGACUUGAUUGGGUUGUGCACAAGAAGUUGGGACACCAAUCUUAAGAUUUUGGCGUUUGGAGGGUACCGCAGAGUUAUCUGAAAGAGAAGAGAAGAGGGAGGAGGUGAGGUGAGGUUGGACGUGAGAGGCAUUCAACCUUAUGUCUUAUGCAAAAAUUUGUAAACUUGAAAGAAAUGGCACAUAAAGGGAUUGGGACUGUAUAUUCCAAUAAAGUGAUGAAGGUUCUAACUAAUGAAAUUUUUCGUUUUCAAUCGGUAAGAAACAAAAUGGUUGGAAUCUCUAAGGGCAUGUUGGCCCGAUCUUGAGUGGAAGGUAGUAUAUGUCAAUGAAGUUCGGAAGAAAGUAACUAUGAAAUUGAUUCCAAGGAUUGAUUUAAAAGCAAUGGAUGAAAAAAUUUUCAGCUUCUUCAUUGGCAUGGUUCUUGGAUACUUUUUCCGGGGAUUCAAUUCCACUUUACUCUCUUUCUGUUGGUAAUUGCAGCUCAUGUGCCACCCCUGAAGCAUAUCAACCGAUUCCUUAAUGUUUUGCCCCCGUUUGCCUAAUGGAUUGGAUGUUGUAGAUGUGUUUGAAAGGUAGGUGGUUACGGCUAUGUGUAAUACCUAUGGAAUAGAUGCAUAGACAUUUGGAGUUCUUUUGUGUGGUGAGAAUUGUUGCUAUGGAUUGGUGGAUUUCCCCACUUGCUUAUUACUAGGUUGGAUGUUUAAAAUGCUUGCAUUUUGUGGAACAUAAUAUUGAAGUGAAGAUGUUGCUAGGCUUGUUUGAUGGGUUACUUUAUUUUGUUGUUUGACGGUGGACAUCGUCUAGUAAAUAUUGUUAUGUUA